UACGGGGGGUGCUAACGUUAUCCGGAAUUACUGGGCGUAAAGCGUAUGUAGGUGGUUUUGUGCGUCGACGAUGAAAGACUAUCGCUCAACGAUAGGAACGUUUUCGAUACGGCAAAACUGGAGAGAAGCAGGGGUGCACGGAACUUUCGGUGUAGGAGUGAAAUCCGUAGAUAUCGAAAGGAACACCAAUGGCGAAGGCAGUGCACUGGGCUUUUUCUGACACUGAGAUACGAAAGCGUGGGGAGCAAACAGG
rnacentral:rRNA from 1 species